CAGGGAGACAACAAAAUGUUUAUAUUAUUUUGUCACCUUAGGUCGAUCGGUAUCUCACAUUCUUAAUUGAUUAAGAAUUUUAUUUCCUAAGUUUUUUCUAGGUCACACCCAUUACUUUUCCUGGGCCAUUAGCUCAGGUGGUUAGAGCGCACCCCUGAUAAGGGUGAGGUCCCUGGUUCAAGUCCAGGAUGGCCCAUAUCUCUAUGUUGGGGGUAUAGCUCAGUUGGUAGAGCGCCUGCUUUGCAAGCAGGAUGUCAGCGGUUCGAGUCCGCUUACCUCCACUGAUUACCACCUCUUCCAUAACCGGUAUAAAGGAAAUGUUUUGAGUUGUGAUCAUUAUUCUGAACGAAUCUAGCUUCCUAAUUAAAUCAUUAAGAUGCUGGACUCAUUGAAUUAAUUUCAUUGUUUUCAGAGAACCUUGACAACUGCAUAGAUUAUUUUUAAAGACAAUAAGCAUCUUUAAUGAUGCAGAUUUAUUAUUUGUGCGAAUGCAUCAAUAACAAUUCUAUUAGGCUGAUGCUUCAAUUUUUGAAGUUAUU
rnacentral:tRNA from 1 species